AGAUUAAGUUAUUAAGGGCGCACGGUGGAUGCCUUGGCACUAGAAGCCGAUGAAGGACGUUACUAACGACGAUAUGCUUUGGGGAGCUGUAAGUAAGCUUUGAUCCAGAGAUUUCYGAAUGGGGAAACCCAGCAUGAGUUAUGUCAUGUUAUCGAUAUGUGAAUACAUAGCAUAUCAGAAGGCACACCCGGAGAACUGAAACAUCUUAGUACCCGGAGGAAGAGAAAGAAAAUUCGAUUCCCUUAGUAGCGGCGAGCGAAACGGGAAGAGCCCAAACCAACAAGCUUGCUUGUUGGGGUUGUAGGACACUCURUACGGAGUUACAAAGGACGACAUUAGACGAAUCAUCUGGAAAGAUGAAUCAAAGAAGGUAAUAAUCCUGUAGUCGAAAAUGUUGUCUCUCUUGAGUGGAUCCUGAGUACGACGGAGCACGUGAAAUUCCGUCGGAAUCUGGGAGGACCAUCUCCUAAGGCUAAAUACUCUCUAGUGACCGAUAGUGAACCAGUACCGUGAGGGAAAGGUGAAAAGCACCCCGGAAGGGGAGUGAAAUAGAACCUGAAACCGUGUGCUUACAAGUAGUCAGAGCCCGUUAAUGGGUGAUGGCGUGCCUUUUGUAGAAUGAACCGGCGAGUUACGAUUUGAUGCAAGGUUAAGCAGUAAAUGUGGAGCCGUAGCGAAAGCGAGUCUGAAUAGGGCGUUUAGUAUUUGGUCGUAGACCCGAAACCAGGUGAUCUACCCUUGGUCAGGUUGAAGUUCAGGUAACACUGAAUGGAGGACCGAACCGACUUACGUUGAAAAGUGAGCGGAUGAACUGA
rnacentral:rRNA from 1 species